rnacentral:misc_RNA from 1 species
GUGAAUCAUCAAAUCUUUGAACGCAUAUUGCACUCUCUGGUAUUCCGGAGAGUAUGCCUGUUUGAGGGUAAUUAAAAAGAAUCUUUAACCAAUUUUUUUUGUCAAAGGGUAUGAAUUCUUCGCGGUUAUUGCGGUUACUUGAAAUAAAUGGUCAAGUCUCAUUUUUGUCGAAACGCCGAAUAAUAUUAUUUCGCGGAAUCUUCA